UGGGGGAUAUUGCACAAUGGGCGAAAGCCUGAUGCAGCGACGCCGCGUGGGGGAUGAAGGCUUUCGGGUUGUAAACCUCUUUCGCUAUCGAUCAAGGCCCGCUUAGGGUGGGUUGAGGGUAGGUGGAGAAGAAGCGCCGGCUAACUACGUGCCAGCAGCCGCGGUAAUACGUAGGGCGCGAGCGUUGUCCGGAAUUAUUGGGCGUAAAGGGCUUGUAGGCGGCUUGUUGCGCCUGCUGUGAAAACGCGGGGCUUAACUUCGCGCGUGCAGUGGGUACGGGCAGGCUUGAGUGUGGUAGGGGUGACUGGAAUUCCAGGUGUAGCGGUGGAAUGCGCAGAUAUCUGGAGGAACACCGAUGGCGAAGGCAGGUCACUGGGCCAUUACUGACGCUGAGGAGCGAAAGCAUGGGUAGCGAACAGG
rnacentral:rRNA from 1 species